GAUGAACGCUGGCGGCGUGCUUAACACAUGCAAGUCGAACGAAGCACUUUGAAAGCUUGCUUUUAAAGUGACUGAGUGGCGGACGGGUGAGUAACGCGUGGGUAACCUGCCUCACACAGGGGGAUAACAGUUAGAAAUGACUGCUAAUACCGCAUAAGCCCCCGGUACCGCAUGGUACAGCGGGAAAAGAUUUAUCGGGGUGAGAUGGAGCCGCGUCUGAUUAGCUAGUUGGUGGGGUAACGGCCUACCAAGGCGACGAUCAGUAGCCGACCCGAGAGGGUGACCGGCCACAUUGGGACUGAGACACGGCCCAAACUCCUACGGGAGGCAGCAGUGGGGAAUAUUGCACAAUGGGCGCAAGCCUGAUGCAGCGACGCCGCGUGAGUGAAGAAGUAUUUCGGUAUGUAAAGCUCUAUCAGCAGGGAAGAUAACGACAGUACCUGACUAAGAAGCUCCGGCUAAAUACGUGCCAGCCGCCGCGGUAAAAC
rnacentral:rRNA from 1 species